AACUCUUAGCGGUGGAUCACUUUGGCCCGUGCGUCGAUGAAGAACGCAGCUAGCUGCGAGAAUUAAUGUGAAUUGCAGGACACGUUGAUCAUGGACACUAUGAACGCACUUGAGGCCCCGGGUUCCUCCUGGGGCUACACCUGUCUGAGAGGCC
ensembl:rRNA LOC120101120 5.8S ribosomal RNA